AUGAUUGUUGUAUGUUUGAAGAUACCCAAACAAUUAGUAAUAUAUAGUAAUACAGUAAUGUGUUAUUGUGGCAGACACACAUGUUAAUGUGGUAGACCCACAUGUUAUUGUGGCACAUACACAUGUUAUUGGGCAGACCCUCAUGUUAUUGUUGUAGACUGACAUGUUAUUGUGACAAACACACAUUAUUGUGGCAGACCCACGUUAUAGUGGCAGACACACCUGUCAUUGUGGCAGACUCACGUUAUAGUGGCAGCCACACUUAUUGUGAUGAAUAUAGAUUCAUAUAGGAGGCCCUCUGUUGGUUCAUACAUAUAUAACAUACCUUGUAGUAUAAUGGUAGAGUCCCGAAAGUUUAGUGCGGUAAAGAACGAGUGUCGCGCGUUGGAAACUAGGGACGCCAUACUGUACAAGUACAUGUUGUUAAUGGAGAGCGUCCAUUUGAAGUUAGGAAGUCGAAUUACACCGUUAUACUAUGCCUUAAUUUAGCUGUUGUGGGACUGUAAUUUUACGUCUUGAUGAUCUUGAUGACAGUUAAUAAAUAUAUACCAAAAGGCAAAAGUGUUGUUGUCGAAUAUCAUCGAGUCAGUAAAAUACGCCCGACGUAACA